UGGACAGAUUACUGUAUUCGACUGUAUUCAUGGCGUGAAACAAGGGAUUACACUGUUUUAAACCGGAAAGUGUAUCAAUUAACAUAAAAGACUACU
rnacentral:pre_miRNA from 1 species